CAGCCGCCGCGGUAAUACGUAGGUGGCAAGCGUUGUCCGGAAUUAUUGGGCGUAAAGGGCUCGCAGGCGGUUUCUUAAGUCUGAUGUGAAAGCCCCCGGCUCAACCGGGGAGGGUCAUUGGAAACUGGGAAACUUGAGUGCAGAAGAGGAGAGUGGAAUUCCACGUGUAGCGGUGAAAUGCGUAGAGAUGUGGAGGAACACCAGUGGCGAAGGCGACUCUCUGGUCUGUAACUGACGCUGAGGAGCGAAAGCGUGGGGAGCGAACAGGAUUAGAGACCCGCGUAGUCCCUGUCUCUUAUAA
rnacentral:rRNA from 1 species